CCGACGGUGAGAGACGAAAGCUGGGGGAGCGAACCGGAUUAGAUACCCGGGUAGUCCCAGCUGUAAACGAUGCGCGUUAGGUGUGUCAGUGACCACGUGUCACUGAUGUGCCGAAGGGAAACCGUGAAACGCGCCGCCUGGGGAGUACGGUCGCAAGGCUGAAAUUUAAAGGAAUUGGCGGGGGAGCACCACAACGGGUGGAGCCUGCGGUUUAAUCGGACUCAACGCCGGAAAUCUCACCGGAUAA
rnacentral:rRNA from 1 species